rnacentral:lncRNA from 1 species
AAAUAAUUUAUUAAGUAUUUACUAUGAGUCUGAUAUUGGGCUGUAAUAAGAAUUUUCUGACUCCUUUCUAGCCACUAAUGGAAUAAGCCAACAUUGGUUACAGAUACAGGUACACUGCAACUUAUUUAUCUAUUCAUGAUGUAAUAGUUAAAAGGGGUGGUCCCCAUUGUAAUAAUUACAAUUAAAAUUAUGAGGCUGUUAGUAGCUUUAACAAUUUAGUUUAACUGAGAGAGAUAAUAAAAAGAGGGAAAUGUAGGAAGGAGGUAGAGAAAUUGCCUAGCCUAGAGUCUGUUAUGAUGAAAUUCAUGUCACCACGGACAAAAAGCUCAAUCUCCAGUCAGAAGAAUGUGGGAGUCUCUUCAGCAAAAGUCCUAGAAGCAGAGGACUUGGAGGAUCUUGGAGUGGGACAUUGGUAUGGCUUGGGACUUCAACCUGGGAACUCUGGCUCUUGAACUGCUUCUGGAAAGACUGCUCCUGGAUCUUCUCCUUUGAAGCUUCAUGUGGGUGUCUGGACAGAGGGGUGGGGCAUGCAAAAAACUGUCCUUGGUCUCCAGGAAGAUGGGGAAUGGAGUAGCUCCCUGAGUGCCAGCCAUUACUGUCCAGCAUUAAACAUGAGUGGAUUCUUGUGAUCUGUGAAGGGAAACUGUGGAGGUGAAAACAUGUGGCAAAGAAAAAGGAUUAAAAUGAAAGACUCAUGAAAAAAGGACACACACACAGAGAGUACAGAAGCAACAUAAGCAAACUGCUUCAACCAGUAGCCACUUAAGGUUUGUAUUUAAAUGUAAAUGGCCGACUGAAAGCAAAGAGAAUUCACACCACUAAAGAAACAACAAAUGUUUUCCCACAGGCAUUAUAAGAAUUUACAAGGUUUUACAAGAUUUGUGGGAAAGGAAGUCAAUUCCUAAAGUUGCUGUAAGUAAGCAAGUAAGAUACCUAUGUUGUAGCAGUUCAGCUCCUACAAAAAAGUUCUUGAGUAGAUUUUAUCACCUAGAAGGGAAGCCAAGGAUUGGGAGACUAUGGUUAAAAGGUUUAAAGAUUAAGGGAGGCAAGACAUAAGUUAGACAAACACAUAAGAUGUAAGAUUUGAAUUUAGGUUUUGACUCAAUAUGACAGUUAAAAAAGUGGUCAUUAUUUAUAAAAUAUUAGCCCCUAAGUCAAAAUGACUAUUAGCAGCUUUUAUUUACAACAAGGUAGAAAAAAACGAAAGUAGGAAAUGUAGAAAAGGGACUGAGCAUUAACAAGCUUACCAGCCCUAAAUGCCUCUCCAGUGAAGUUUGGCUUAGACCCCUGCAAGGGCUACUCAAGUUCUGAUCUCCAUAUGAAAGUCUAAUAGUCUCCAGCAAGAGUCUCUCCACAAGCCAAGGAAGAAAUCUCUGGAACCAAUCUUUCCACAAGCUAAGGCAGCAAAGAGAGUCAAGGAACCAAUCUCUCCAAAAACCAAAGAAGGGAAGGGAAUCCAGACUUUGUUGGUCUCUUUUUAUACUCCAUUUCCCAUAUUAUUUCC